GACGAACCGUGCGAACGUUAUUCGGAAUCACUGGGCCUAAAGCGCGUGUAGGCGGCCCGGUAAGUCCGCUGUGAAAGUCGGGGGCUCAACCCUCGAAUGCCGGUGGAUACUGUCGGGCUAGAGUGCGGGAGAGGCGAGUGGAAUUCCUGGUGUAGCGGUGAAAUGCGCAGAUAUCAGGAGGAACACCAAUUGCGAAGGCAGCUCGCUGGAACGUAACUGACGCUGAGACGCGAAAGCGUGGGGAGCAAACAGG
rnacentral:rRNA from 1 species